UGGGGAAUAUUGGACAAUGGGCGAAAGCCUGAUCCAGCCAUGCCGCGUGUGUGAAGAAGGUCUUCGGAUUGUAAAGCACUUUAAGUUGGGAGGAAGGGCAGUAAGCGAAUACCUUGCUGUUUUGACGUUACCGACAGAAUAAGCACCGGCUAACUCUGUGCCAGCAGCCGCGGUAAUACAGAGGGUGCAAGCGUUAAUCGGAAUUACUGGGCGUAAAGCGCGCGUAGGUGGUUCGUUAAGUUGAAUGUGAAAGCCCCGGGCUCAACCUGGGAACUGCAUCCAAAACUGGCGAGCUAGAGUAGGGCAGAGGGUGGUGGAAUUUCCUGUGGAGCGGUGAAAUGCGUAGAUAUAGGAAGGAACACCAGUGGCGAAGGCGACCACCUGGGCUCAUACUGACACUGAGGUGCGAAAGCGUGGGGAGCAAACAGG
rnacentral:rRNA from 1 species